UACCCCAGCGCGCUCUCUCCUGCCUCGUCCUGCAACUGUCUCGUAUCAGCCUACAUUCGGCGUACAGAAAAUGAAACGAACUAACAAUAGGAGAACAGACGUAGUAAAUCCAAAAUUGAUAAGAGGAUCCCUAGACCAUAGCCACAAUUUAAGAUGUGAUCUAUAAUGUCAAGCGAUUAAUCGGAAUUAUUUAUACUCUGAGACUAGCUAAGCUAAUUUAGGAAACCUCAGAGGGUGCGCAAGCAAGGGUUUCAAUUUCAUCCUUUCGAAGACGAGCUACUAUGCGUGGCCGCGAGGAGUGGCUGGCGACUCGGACAAACUGAGAAUUCUGAUGGAGUCCGGAGUGGACGUGUCCUAUUUCGACGGGCAAGUCCUCACUCCACUCAUGCACGCGGCCAAGCACGACCAUGCCCUUGUGGUCAAGACCCUUCUAGCAUCUGGCGCGCCCUGGGAACAUCCUCUCCGGUGUUCUCGCUGUGGAAGCUGGCUACUUGGGCGCUUCUGAUAUCCUCCUCAACGCCGGGUUACUUUUAGUGAGUUCCGUGAGGAUAAGCUGAUGGACGCUGACAACAAGGCUGUCAUGAUGGCUUGGGAGAAACCUUUGGUGGAGGCUCAUGCCAAAGCUGUUUGCUCAGGCGGUGGUCACAUUCUGAACAUUGGAUUUUGGAAUGGGUCUGGUGGAUAAUGCCAUUCAGAAAUGUGUACCUGUCACGCACACUAUUGUUGAAGCCCACCUGGAAAGUUCAUGCAUGAAUGCUCCGCACUGGUUGGAGUGACCGGGAUGAUGUGAAGAUAAUAUGUGGCCGUUGGCAAGAUCAUGUUCUUUAUCAAAUUGAAUCUUAUGAUGGUAACUCCUGAAUCUCAGUUGCACUUUUGCCUACGAACAAAUAAUCAUAUUUAUGUUUUAUGCAACUAGUGUACAUCCAGGUUCAUUUAAACAUACAGUUAUGUGUUUUCGUAUCUAUGUCUACUUAGUUUGUGUUUUAACAGUACCUAUGAUUGCAUCAUAUGAGUGAUGACCAGAAUGUUCACUUUAGUAGCUCCUACAAGUGAAAUCUACAUGAAAGAUUGGGAUGGUAUUAUUGCUUAUAGCUUGACAGCCAGUUUAAAAGUAUA